GACGUAGGGCGCGAGCGUUGUCCGGAUUUAUUGGGCGUAAAGAGCUCGUAGGCGGUUUGUCGCGUCUGCCGUGAAAGUCCGGGGCUCAACUCCGGAUCUGCGGUGGGUACGGGCAGACUAGAGUGAUGUAGGGGAGACUGGAAUUCCUGGUGUAGCGGUGAAAUGCGCAGAUAUCAGGAGGAACACCAGUGGCGAAGGCGGCUACCUGGACCAGCACUGACACUGAAGCACGAAAGCGUGGGGAGCAAACAGG
rnacentral:rRNA from 1 species